UGGGGAAUUUUGGACAAUGGGCGCAAGCCUGAUCCAGCCAUGCCGCGUGCGGGAAGAAGGCCUUCGGGUUGUAAACCGCUUUUGUCAGGGAAGAAAUCUUCUGAGUUAAUACCUCGGGAGGAUGACGGUACCUGAAGAAUAAGCACCGGCUAACUACGUGCCAGCAGCCGCGGUAAUACGUAGGGUGCAAGCGUUAAUCGGAAGUUACUGGGCAGUAAAGCGUGCGCAGGUCGGUUUUGUAAGACAGAGGUGAAAUCCCCGGGCUCAACCUGGGAACUGCCUUUGUGACUGCAAGGCUUGAGUGCGGCAGAGGGGGAUGGAAUUCCGCGUGUAGCAGUGAAAUGCGUAGAUAUGCGGAGGAACACCGAUGGCGAAGGCAAUCCCCUGGGCCUGCACUGACGCUCAUGCACGAAAGCGUGGGGAGCAAACAGGAUUAGAUACCCUGGUAGUCCACGCCCUAAACGAUGUCAACUGGUUGUUGGGAAGGUUCCUUCUCAGUAACGUAGCUAACGCGUGAAGUUGGCCGCCUGGGGAGUACGGCCGCAAGGUUGAAAGCU
rnacentral:rRNA from 1 species